rnacentral:rRNA from 1 species
AUUGAACGCUGGCGGCAGGCUUAACACAUGCAAGUCGAGCGGAGAUGAGGUGCUUGCACCUUAUCUUAGCGGCGGACGGGUGAGUAAUGCUUAGGAAUCUGCCUAUUAGUGGGGGACAACAUUCCGAAAGGAAUGCUAAUACCGCAUACGUCCUACGGGAGAAAGCAGGGGAUCUUCGGACCUUGCGCUAAUAGAUGAGCCUAAGGCGGAUUAGCUAGUUGGUGGGGUAAAGGCCUACCAAGGCGACGACCUGUAGCGGCUCUGAGAGGAUGAUCCGCCACACUGGGACUGAGACACGGCCCAGACUCCUACGGGAGGCAGCAGUGGGGAAUAUUGGACAAUGGGGGGAACCCUGAUCCAGCCAUGCCGCGUGUGUGAAGAAGGCCUUAUGGUUGUAAAGCACUUUAAGCGAGGAGGAGGCUACUGAGACUAAUACUCUUGGAUAGUGGACGUUACUCGCAGAAUAAGCACCGGCUAACUCUGUGCCAGCAGCCGCCGUAAUAC